GAUGAACGCUGGCGGCGUGCUUAACACAUGCAAGUCGAACGGUGAAGCAGGAGCUUGCUCUUGUGGAUCAGUGGCGAACGGGUGAGUAACGCGUGAGCAACCUGCCCCUGACUCUGGGAUAAGCGCUGGAAACGGCGUCUAAUACUGGAUAUGUGAUGUGACCGCAUGGUCUGCAUCUGGAAAGAAUUUCGGUUGGGGAUGGGCUCGCGGCCUAUCAGCUUGUUGGUGAGGUAAUGGCUCACCAAGGCGUCGACGGGUAGCCGGCCUGAGAGGGUGACCGGCCACACUGGGACUGAGACACGGCCCAGACUCCUGCGGGAGGCAGCAGUGGGGAAUAUUGCACAAUGGGCGGAAGCCUGAUGCAGCAACGCCGCGUGAGGGAUGACGGCCUUCGGGUUGUAAACCUCUUUUAGCAGGGAAGAAGCGAAAGUGACGGUACCCGCAGAAAAAGCACCGGCUAACUACGUGCCAGCCGCCGCAGUAA
rnacentral:rRNA from 1 species